UUUUGACCUCGGAUCAGGUAGGGAUACCCGCUGAACUUAAGCAUAUCAAUAAGCGG
rnacentral:rRNA from 2 species